rnacentral:lncRNA from 1 species
AGGUCAUCAGAUUAGCUAGGUGAUAAACUGCCUUAUGUAAUCUUUUGCAGAGAAGGUGGCUUAUGAACACAUUUCAAGAAAAAUACAAAAUAGUGAAAGCACCGAAGUCAUCUUAGAAAGGGUGAAAACAACUUCUUUUUCUUCACUAGAGAAGAGAUUGGCGGAGACGCAGAGGGAAAAUGGAGUAAUUUUCUGAAAGAUUAUUGACACAUCUGGAUUUGGCCUUAGGAAUUGUAAGUUGCUGCAGGGGCAUUUAUUUUUUGAAUCAACUCUUCAGACCACCCUGGAACUCAUGCAACUAGCUUGGAGAGAAGGAGCGCAGUGUUCUUGGGGAGAUCCGAUGAGAGCUCAGGAAACAUCACAUGGUGGAAAGAAGAGGGAAUGUGAAAGGGCUGAGCUCAAAUCCCCACUCCGUCACCAGUAGUUGUGUGAACUUGGGUAAGUCACUUUAUUUCUCAGGGGCUUAUUCCUGAUUUCUUCUAACCAAAACAGGUUUUUUCAUUAAGAGCCACAUAGUUUGGCAGGAAGGAAGACAGAAAAGGAUAAGAAAGAAUUAAGUCUCUGUUCUCAAGGACUAUCACCCACUAAGGAGGCAGGACAAGCACACCAGACAGUAUAGAAACAUUGGUGUCCUGUGUGACAAGUGACCCUCUGUGGUGCUCCUUUGAGGUCAG